UACGAAGGGGGCUAGCGUUGCUCGGAAUCACUGGGCGUAAAGCGCACGUAGGCGGAUCUUUAAGUCAGGGGUGAAAUCCUGGAGCUCAACUCCAGAACUGCCUUUGAUACUGGGGAUCUCGAGUCCGGGAGAGGUGAGUGGAACUGCGAGUGUAGAGGUGAAAUUCGUAGAUAUUCGCAAGAACACCAGUGGCGGAGGCGGCUCACUGGCCCGGUACUGACGCUGAGGUGCGAAAGCGUGGGGAGCAAACAGG
rnacentral:rRNA from 1 species